GCUUUCUCAAAAUUUUGAUAUGAUACACAACUUUCUCUUUAUUUUAUUACAAAAUGAUGAGAAAAAAGGAAAGGGAAAAUGCCCAUCACCGGAUCAUUGUAGUGAUGGUAAAGCUCGCUGUGAUGACUGGGUACCUAUAAAGAAUUUGCUAUACCGUGCAAAUAUACAAUAGCCAUAAUUUCAUCUGCAUGCCGAUUCAUAAUUGAUAUGUUAAGGCUUUAAUUUUCAGCUUUGUUAACUUGUCAACUGUUCGAUUCGAUGCUUGCCGGGUGCAAUUGGACAAAGUUACCUGCAUCCUCAGUCAUGUUUCUUGAUUCAGGUUUGGCAUCUUUGACAGAUACAGAGAUGGGAUCCUCGCUAGCUUUUGAUAGUUCUGUAGUGUCUUUGUUUUCAUCUAAUCUUCGGGGUUCACCUUCACCACCAUUAACAAGCUCAUGCUUUUCCAUGCUCACCAUGCCAUUGGCUAUUGCAUAAUUAAUUGAUGUAGAGUUCUGCAGGAGAGCCUCUCCUCCUGCAGUAGUGACAGGCAUGUCUUCAUGAUCAACAGUAGGUUCUGGUGGGUUAGCUGCAGUUCUGUGUUCUGUCAAAUCUUUGGAUCCUGAGUUGCCAUUAGCAUCUUGCGUAAAUUCCCUUGGAGGUUUUUCCGAUUCCUCAGAUUUUUCGUACUUGCUGUCAAUAGAUGGAUGAUGUGUUACAUGAUGUACAUUUUGAGGUGCAGUGAGAGCUAAAUUUUCAAGUACUUGCUCAUCCAGCAACUUGUUUCUUACUAUCCUCUCCUCCCUAUCAGAUUCUGAAACUGCUAUGUGCAUCUGUUGAUUGAGAUUUGACGGUGAUUGAUCUAAUAGGAUCCUUUCUGGUAAAACAGACUUUGGAGAUGAAGAUGAACUUGAAACAUUAGAAAUUUGUUCCACAGUCAUUUCUGGCUGUUUUCCUGAUGUAGAGGGAUCAUUAGAACUCCGGUCUACCCCAGAAACUUGAACUUCUGUGGUAAUUUGCUCCUCUUUACCAUCUUGAGAUGGUAUCGAGCUGUCUUUAGCUUCAUUAGAAUUCUUAUCUUCUGCAGUUGGCAUUAUUGACUCAAUGAUGGGUUGAUUAGCUGGAGGCAUAUCAGAAUUGCUUUCAGUAUACUUGUCCAUUUCUGAUGUACUUUCCUCAUCUCGUUUUGCCAAGUCCACUAAAACUUCUUGCUCAAUGUAUUUUUCAAUUCUAUCCCUAUCUU
rnacentral:misc_RNA from 1 species